CGUGGAUCACGCAAUCCUGCACGGAAACCAUUCGGUAUUAAGGCUCAUUUCCACUCAGGGAAAUUUUCCGCAGAAAGAAAAUUUUUUAAAAUGUGAUUGGCCGACACAAAUUUUCCGUCGGAAAAUAAUUUUGAAAAUAAUUCAACUUUUAACAAUGAUAUUUUCGGAAAAUUUUCUGUCCGUGGAAAUUUUUCUUGAGUGGAAAUGGGCCUUUAGGAAUGUUCGGUAUGAGAAAUUUCCGGUGUCGGUAUACCGAAAAAAUUAUACCAAUAUUAUCGGUAUACCGGAGGAAAUUAUGAGUAAUUCUAAAAGGGAAAACGAUCAUUUCGAACAUGUUUCGAACCGAACGACACGUGCUCAGUGUAAAAUCUCACUGAAGUGGAAAUUCUAAAUCAUUGCAGUACAAAGUUCUUUGAAUUGCCA